UCAGUAACAAAGAUUCAUCCUUGUGUCCAUCGAGCAGCAAGGAGAGUCUUUGUCACUUAGU
rnacentral:pre_miRNA from 1 species